UCGCCUGUUUUAUCAAAAACAUUUCUAUUAGAAUUAAUUAAUAGUAAAAUCUGCUCAAUGAACAAUAAAUAGCCGCAAAUUUUAAUUGUGCUAAGGUAGCAUAAUAAUUAGUUUUUUAAUUAAAAACCAGAACAAACGAUUAAACAUUUUAAUUAAUAUCUAAUAUUUAUCUUUAUAAAUUUUAUUAAAUGUAAAAAUACAUUUAUAUGAAAGAAAGACGACAAGACCCUAUUGAACUUAACUAAAGUUAAAUUGGGGUAAUUAAUUAAACAUUACUUUAAUAAAAGAAGUACUUAUAUAGACCUAAUAUAAUUAAAUCAUGAUCAAGUUACCAUAGGGAUAACAGCGUAAUAAUAAUUUAAAGCUCUUAUUUAAAUAAUAGAUUGCGACCUCGAUGUUGAAUUAAUAACCUCUAACAUAACGCAAAAGUUAUAAAAGGAAGUCUGUUCGACUUUUAAAAAAUUACAUGAUCUGAGUUCA
rnacentral:rRNA from 1 species